UUUCCCUACGGGGGGCAGCAGUAGGGAAUUUUCGUCAAUGGGCGCAAGCCUGAACGAGCGAUGCCGCGUGAGUGAAGAAGGCCUUCGGGUCGUAAAGCUCUGUUGCGGGGGAAAAAAGGCAGCAUCAGGAAAUGGGUGCUGACUGAUGGUGCCACGCCAGACAGUCACGGCUAACUACGUGCCAGCAGCAGCGGGAAUACGUAGGUGGCGAGCGUUAUCCGGAAUGAUUGGGCGUAAAGGGUGAGCAGGCGGUCCUGCAAGUCUGGAGUGAAACGCAUGAGCUCAACUCAUGCAUGGC
rnacentral:rRNA from 1 species